rnacentral:rRNA from 1 species
CAGUCGCCACGGUAAUACAGAGGGUGCAAGCGUUAAUCGGAAUUACUGGGCGUAAAGCGCGCGUAGGUGGUUUGUUUAGUUGGAUGUGAAAGCCCCGGGCUCAACCUGGGAACUGCAUCCAAAACUGGCAAGCUAGAGUACGGUAGAGGGUGGUGGAAUUUCCUGUGUAGCGGUGAAAUGCGUAGAUAUAGGAAGGAACACCAGUGGCGAAGGCGACCACCUGGACUGAUACUGACACUGAGGUGCGAAAGCGUGGGGAGCAAACAGGAUUAGAUACCCCCGUAGUCCCUGUCUCUUAUAC